AUUAGCCAAAUCCAUUUGGCUAAUACUCUACAAAAAAAAUUACUUCGCUAUUCAAUCCGAAUAGAAGAAAGAGCUUGUACUACCGAAGGGUGUGCCACAGUUGUAUAGGUAAGAAUUUGGUAUGGUAAGAUACAUAGAACAGUAUAAUUUAUAUCUUUUUUUGACAAUAAAUCACUAUUAUAACGAAAAACAAUUCCUAGUGGAAUUUGGUUAUAAAAUCCUUUGUGUUGAAUUUCCGAGCGUAGUUACUGGACCGAAACAAUUCUACUUAAUCAAAUAAAAACUAACUAAAAAACACGACAUUUUUAGUAGCUACAGUAGCGCAAUUAGUGGAGGUCUAAGGGACUAAGACCUUUGGGUCGUCUAAGGCCUUCUAAGUGAGGAAGCAACCAGAGCUCUGUCAAUCACAUUUAAUUAAGAUUAUAGUAGGGCUCAAGACCGACACCCCUCCCCAAUAAAUAAACAGCUAAUUGCAGCACUGAAUGAGUAGAUGUAUGUAGGUAGCUCAAAAAUUGCCAGAAAGUUUUUCCACGUCCAGAAAGUGUUUAUAUAGGUAAGUAUUUUGUGAAAAUGUUACGUUUUUACGAUUAUCUCUAUACAAUUUAA